rnacentral:rRNA from 1 species
GAGGGGGGAUGCAAGCGUUAUCCGGAAUCACUGGGCGUAAAGCGUCUGUAGGUGGUGAUGCAAGUCACUGGUGCAAAACUCUGGCUCAACCGGAGGAAAGCCAGUGAAACUGCAUGACUAGAGUGUGGGAGAGGUAGAAGGAAUUCCCUGAGUAGCGGUGAAAUGCGUAGAUACAGGGAAGAACACCGGAGGCGAAAGCGUUCUACUGGAACACAACUGACACUGAGAGACGACAGCUAGGGGAGCUAAUGGG